GGAUUGCCCCAGUAACGGCGAGUGAAGCGGCAACAGCUCAAAUUUGAAAUCUGGCUCUCGGGCCCGAGUUGUAAUUUGUAGAGGAUGCUUUUGGUGAGGUGCCUUCCGAGUUCCCUGGAACGGGACGCCAUAGAGGGUGAGAGCCCCGUCUGGUUGGACGCCGAACCUCUGUAAAGCUCCUUCGACGAGUCGAGUAGUUUGGGAAUGCUGCUCUAAAUGGGAGGUAUAUGUCUUCUAAAGCUAAAUACCGGCCAGAGACCGAUAGCGCACAAGUAGAGUGAUCGAAAGAUGAAAAGAACUUUGAAAAGAGAGUUAAACAGUACGUGAAAUUGUUGAAAGGGAAGCGCUUGUGACCAGACUUGGGCUUGGUUGAUCAUCCGGGGUUCUCCCCGGUGCACUCUUCCGGCCCAGGCCAGCAUCAGUUCGCCCUGGGGGACAAAGGCAUCGGGAACGUGGCUCUCUCCGGGGAGUGU
rnacentral:rRNA from 1 species